AGGCACUGAGAAGGGAACACCGCCCGCGCUCUCACUCCGCUGGCACAACCUCUCAAGAUAAGGUGUCCGGAUGCCACCAAGAUACACCUGCUCCACUGACACCGGUUUAGAGAGAGAGAGAGAGAGAGAGAGAGAGAGAGAGAGAGAGAGAGAGGGACACAAAAUACCCUCCUCCAAAUCUCCAUCUCUAGAACAUCCACUGGUGACUGUAAGUGGUGAUGUUGUAAUUUGAACUGGUGGUGUUGUGAUGACUAUGCUGAAGUGAACUGGUGACUCUCUCUCUCUACUGGUGGUGUUGUGGUGAGUUAAACUGAAGUGAUGUGAAUAGUGAGUCAGAUUGAAGUGAUGUGGUUGUGGUGAGCAGACUGAAGUGAUAUUUUGUGUGGUGACCAAAUCUGAAGUGACUGGAAUUGAAACGGUAUUGGUGGUGGUGACGUAGUGGUGACGUAGUGGUGACUGAAAGAAGUGAUGUGGUGAUUGCAACUGAAGUGACGCUGUGGUGAUGACUGGAACUGAAAUAAUGGUGAUGACGAAAAUUGAAACAUGAGUGGUGACUGAAAAAUAUUAGUGUGGUGGUGACUGAAGCACACACACACACACACACACACACACACACACACACACACACACACACACACACACACACACACACAC